CCUGAGGAAUGCUCAGCAAUUGGCAUGUGGGAUUUCUAGAAAGAUGCAUCCUCCAGACUCCAAGGUAAAACAUCCCGAUAGGCAUCCAAACAAUGUGGGGAAGAGAUGGGUGUUUCAGCCAAGGAUGAAACCCAGCAAUUCAAGUGAGUCUUCCCCAGAAUGUAAUUCUUGGAUUAGGGUCUCUGUAUCACCUCGGAAAAAGAGCAUUUUUAUCGUGUAUAAAAAUCUUCAUUCUGC
rnacentral:lncRNA from 1 species